UGGGCCGACCCCAGGGCAGGUGUUUUUGAUAUGACAUCUUCCAGUAUGCUGCUUUUGUUUAAAUACUGAACCAAAAUAAAACUGAAGUAUUAUCAUCUCAUUCUGUAGAUAAGGAAAAAGAGGCUCAAAGAGUUUGUGUACUUUGCUUAGGGGAAACUAGAAAGUAAACGGUGAAGCCAGCCUUCAAUGCCAGGUAUUUCUGAUCCUAGAUCCUGUUCUGUAUCACUGUACCACACUGCCUUCUGUCACCAUUCGGUGUCAGAACACACUCAGUCCAACACAUUGCACCCAGAGAAAUCCCAAGGAGGUACCUACCACCUGGGUGAAUUUACCUGGUCAGGGCCUAGCCCUUAGGUUUUCAGGCUUUAAUGACUUAUUUUGUCAACAUGUGAUAGUGAGUUCAUCUAUUCUGGGCAAAACAUACCUUAACCAAGCUCUUGAGACUGAUAAUGCAACAAAAUAAUGCCCAUUUAUUAACUCACCACAGGGAAUAGUCCUGUUGCUUAGAAUGUUAGCAUGGUCAGUGCAUUCUCUCCCUAUAGGGAUCUCUACCCAGGAAGCCAGUUACAACUAGAAGGUGGCUUGGUGAGUGUGGAUGCAAAAUAAAGGAAGUGGGAGGGGUCCUGGCGAGAAUCGCAGCUGCCCAAUAAAUACUGAAUGAAUGAAUGAAUGAUUGACACUCCACGACAGGAAUAAUCUACUCCAUAUGAACUUAGUAUUUGAAACCUUCAGGUUACAAUUCCCUGUAUCCUUUUCUGUUUAAGAAGGUCUUGCCAAUGGAGUCAUCCUUGAAGUCGCUUUGCUCAAGUUUCCCCUGGAUGAGGAUUGAGCCCUCCCCAUAUCUGCCACUCUGACUCAUCUCGUUCUGUGUUUUACAUUUGGGCACAUUCUUCAGACUGGCCUAUAAUAAAAUUUUCCUGGCUUGAGAGCCAUUAUAUCUGUAAGAUUCUGCCUAUUAUGUGUUGAUUUUAAAGUUUAACUCUAGGAAGACACUGUUUUUGAGUCCUAGGGGACACUUCCAUGUAGGCCCCCAAUUCUGACUACAUCUGUCAGCUAUGAGUAUCUGAUUCUCCAGCCCACAGCAAAUUAAAAAUGGAAACAGACUGCUAACAGCAGAAGUCCUGACAACAGUAAAAGAAAAGCUGGGAGCCUUAUAGUUAGGCUAUCAGAAAACCUCUAUUAGGGAUAAAGGGACUCAACAAACACGUUGUUGGAGCCGUUUAGCACAGGCCCUGUCGGCCCCAUAGGGGCAGAAUCCCACACAUUGAGUAGUCCACUUGAUUAGAAUAAUGAUAGUUCCCUUCUAUUGAGCCUCUGUUCUUUGCCAGUCACUGUGCUAAACUCUCUAUAAAUGUUUUUUAAAUUCUAAAAAUGGUCCUGUGAUUUAGAUAUUAAUCUUUGUUUUAAAAGAUGAGAAAGAUUAGUCUUAAGAGAUACUAAGUAACUUCUCCAAGAUCUCACACGUAGUGAGUGAGUGGCAGAGUCAAGAUCCAAACCUAGAUUUAUUCCAUUCUUAAGUUUGUGUUCUUAUUCUCCACGCUACUUUGCCCUUUUGGUACAAUAUUAAAGGUCUGUAAUAGUAAUACCAUCUGUGUAGGGAAUUCAAGGGCACAGGUAACACGUUUUUAAAGGAUUUCCACCAGAAAGAUUAAAAAUGACAUUUGAAGACAUAAAGAAGUAUACUUACAUUUCUUUGAAAAAUCAUUUAUGUGGAACACAAUAUUCCCUAUUGAUGGUAGAUCGAUGAAGCCUUUUUUUAUUUUUUUUGUGAGGAGAUCAGCCCUGUGCAAACAUCUGCCAAUCCUCCUCUUUUUUUUUUUUUUUUUUUUUUGCUGAGGAAGACUGGCCCUGGGCUAACAUCCAUGCCCAUCUUCCUCCACUUUAUAUGGGACGCCGCCACAGCAUGGCUUGCCAAGCAGUGCAUUGUGCGCGCCCAGGAUCCGAACCAGGGAACCCCGGGCCGCCGCAGCGGAGCGCGCACUUAACCCCUUGCACCACCGGGCCGGCCCCGAUGAAGGCUUUUUUUUAAUUGGAAAAUGUUUUCGUAAAGAAUUCAGUAAUUAGGAACACAGAGGAUUCUUUUCUUUGCAACAACCCAGUUAGAUUUUAUCAAAAUCCUUUGCAUCAUGGGAAAAAAAUCUUCAGUGCACAUUUUAUUCCCCUGUAUUUAUGUACACGGUGGAGCACACCAUUGCAACAUGUUCUAUUAGGGAGAUAAUUGGGCUAGCAUGAGACCAUGAGGGUCCCAGCAAAAGGAGGUGGCUGCCAUUCUUGUCAAACAGCCCAAACUGGCUUUGAUGCCAGUGGCCCAUUAAUUUUUUUAAAAAAGAUUAUGUGUAGGGUAAUUUGAGCCUGCAACAAUUUACAGAAGAACAAUGAUGUUACGCUUAUAAAAAUGCUAAUGUUAUCAUUGUAAUGUCGCAACCUAUUUAAUGCCAAAAUGACAACUGGUAAUGUUUGGGAAUAUUUGUAUGAAAACAAUGACAUUUCAUACUUAAAACUCAGCAUCAGCAAAAUAUGAGGAAGAAAAGGCUUGGAUUUAAAUGUAAAUCAGCCUUUUAUAUUUGCUCUGUGGUUGUUUGCUAGUCCAUAAAGCCUUCAAGAUCAGUUGAAUGAAAGUGUCUCGUAAUUAAAACUUAUUUUUCAGUCUCUAGCAGAAGCAGAACCUAUGGGUUACCCAGGGAUUGAUCAGCCCUCGAUGGUGCUGAACUGUCUGGGUAUGUGUGUGCAUGUGUGUUUUAAGGAAUUCUUCAUAGGCGGUAGAUGAACAACCCAAGAACAGCAUGCUCUUGACUUCAUAAGCACACCUUAUCUAGAACCCCAAACAGCCUGACUGCUCCCAAGAAUUACCACGUCUUCAAAGGAGGAAACUGUGUUCACACUGAGAUGAUUCAAGGAAAUGUGUUUAAGACCUUGAAUACGAUGCUCCCAAAAGGUGGUGCAAAAACAUUUUGAGCAAUUUGUACUGUGGCAAUAAGUAAUAACAGCAAAUAUGUAAUUGCUACAUGCCAGGCAUUGUUCUAGGGGUGUCUUAUAUAUUAACACAUUUAAUCCUCACAACAAUCCUUUCAGGAGGAUAUUAUUAUUCUCAUGUUAUAAAUAAGGAAACUGAAGCACAGAAAGGGUAAGAAAUUUCCCCAAGGUCACAACAGCUAGUAAGAGGCAGAACUCAGAUUUGAACCCAAGUAGCCUGGCUUCGGAGUCUGCUUUUAAUUAUUAAACACAGCCAAUCCAAGUGACCCUUUUGAUAGCCCGAUUUGGGUGUAUACAUUUGGAAUUUAUUUUAACCAUCCAGUUUACCUUUUUCAAUAACAUUUUAUUUUUUGAAUUAUAAAAGGAAUUUAUAUCCACUGUAGAAAUUUUGGGAAAAUAAAAGCACCAAGAAGAAAAUGGGAUUUCUGGGUAAUCCCAGAGAUAACCACUGUUAUCAUUUGGUGUGUGUCCUUUUAUCACUUUAUUCCAUAUGAGCAAUUGCAUCUGGUUACAGUUCUAUUGUCGUGAAUAUGACUGAGUUCAUAUGAGGGAGUUUGCUAAGCCUCUGCUACAUCUGUUAGGUCCUGGUUACAACCACAAAGGCAAAUUCAGAUUUCAGAAUUCAGACCUUGGAAGCAGAGAGAGCGAUAUCCUCUUCUCUUUUGUCCCUAUUAGCAGUUUUGAUACAGACUUACUCUGAAGACCAGAGGAACCAGAGGACUGUCACCAUGCCACCAGCUGCAUUUCUAUUAUCAUCACAGUCAAGUGCUUUGACUCAUCUUCCACACUAUGGAAACUCAUAGGAGGAUUUACCUGAGUCAGUUCAUUAUCUCUGGCUCACUAAGUUUCCCUAUUGAGUGUUUUGCUGCUCAGAAAAUGGGAGGAACAGCUAUCAACGCAUCCCACUAAAGAAAGUAGAGAGCCAGAGACAGACACAUUAGCAGAAGAUGAGUUCCAAACAUGGUUGUCACAUUAAGCAUCUUUGGUACAAAAGUAACCCAACUAGCCAAGAGGGAUGUGUCAACUCGAAGGAAGAGAAGGGGGUGGUCUGAAGACUGCUAAAGGCUGGGGGUGAGAUCAGUUUGGGUGUGUCUGUGUGAUGAGGUGGGAGGAAAAGAAGCAACUGGAAGGAGCUUUGGAGGUAAUUAGUGUUGGAUGGUGAACACUUUCUCCUUUUCAACUGGACAGGGAAUGUGUUAAAUGGCACAACAGUUUCCCUAAGUAUUAAAUUGUAGCACAUAGAUAAUUUUCUACCCAGAGCUAGAGGAUAGAAAAUGUGGAUUAUAUGUGAAUAGAUGCUGAGCCCCCUAUUGGAAUCUCUCAUACAUAUCUGUAGUCUCUAGGAUAGAGAGGUGUUGAGUGGAAGAGAGAAAUCUGAGGAUUGGGGCAGUUCCUGAAGAAAUUAAAGAUUAAUGUCAGGUCUCAAGCUCUAGGCUGGCAAGAUUGAAAACUCCCUGGUCAGUAGGGCACCUGAUUCGUGGAUCUCAGAGCUCAGGGUUCAUUCCAGAAGUACCUAUGGAGCACUUCCUCUGUAUCAGGUCCUGUAUUGGCCAUUGGGAGAAUCAUGUAGAAUAAGAUGGAUAUGAUUCUUGCCCUCCAAAGCCACAAAGAAUAAAACCUCAGGGUUGUGAGGCCAUUUUGAGUCUCAUGUAGAUGGUAUAAAUGAUUUUAUAAAAUAGGAAACUGAGGCGAAGGGUGUUAAGUGACUUACCUAAGAGAUCAGCUAAUCAGUGAACUAAUUAGUUUUAACCCUAAACGCCUGAAGUGAAGCCUGUGCCAGUGGAUCUCAUGAUUCAAUUGGAUUCCAAUUCGAUUUUGAGCCUCAGCCAGAGGCUCCAGUUCAGCUUCUAAGAGAAGCCCUCCUUGGGAUAGAAGAGUGUGUCAUUGGCUACUUCCCCAGAUUUUAUUAAUAAUGGGAUACCUUGUUUCCUUUUGGCUGUUGUUUUAUGUGUAGACUUUUUCAAAUGGAAGGAAGGAUGAACAGAAGAAUCCUAGUACCAAAAUACUAUUCAAUAACCUAACACUUUUUUAUAUUUGAGAAAUGAAAGCUGAUUGUAAUAACAUCAACAAAAUGUAUGAAAAGAACGCAAUCUUUUUUGUUUACAAAGCACACAUAGAGAAUAAAUUUUUUAAUAACCUACCUUUAAAAUUUUUUUCAGGGCUUCUCGGAUCCCUUUCUUUAGCACAGAUAAUGGAGUCCAGAUGAUGCGUCCAUCUAACCACGUCAACCUGAAUUGUACAAUUCAUACUGAAAAUGAGCCUCCAAACAUAAGUUAAUAAGUUGCUUUUUCCUCCUUGCUCUGAACCCCAUGGGUGGGAUUCCUUCCCUUUGCCUCAUCUUUCAGACAGUCCUGGAAACGUUGGUGCAAACAGCUGUAUCCUAACACCUGUAUGGCUUGUUGAUUUGAACGUAGCAUCAUUCCCCACAGGAUCACAGAAGAGCCAUGACAGAGUCCUUCCCUGAGUGCUUGUUUGUCAACUUCUGUUACAGGGAUCCAGCAGGAUGGAAAGUGAGAAAUGCAUGCUUGGGUUCAGGCUAGCCCCUUGCCACACGCCAUUCUUCCUUUAAAGGGCAACUCUUCUGUUAAUCUCCCAGGUAGUGCUAUGUGAAGGAAUGACAUAUAUACAUGUGGCCUAAGACAUGAUAUGGAUUAUUACUGAAAUAAAUCACACUGGAGGAUUUAUUAGAGAAUUAAUUUUCUGAUUGUAGAGAUCCAUGGCUAUUGGAAUGCUUUGACAGGAAAUCCAUUUUACCUUCUUAUUUGGUAAAACUUCCCGUAACUUCUAUUUUGGAUGGCAAAACUAAGUUCUCUAAAAUUAAGGGCCAGGGGCUGGCCCCGUGGCGUAGUGGUUAAGUGCGCACGCUCUGCUGCUGGCAGCCUGGGUUUGGAUCCCGGGUGCGCACUGACGCAUGGCAUUGUCAGGCAAUGCCGUGGCGGCGUUCCAUAUAAAGUGGAGGAAGAUGGGCACGGAUGUUAGCUCAGGGCCAGUCUUCCUCAGCAAAAAGAGGAGGAUUGGCAUGGAUGUUAGCUCAGGGCUGAUCUUCCUCACAAAAUAAAUGAAUGAAUGAAUGAAUGAAUGAAUAAAUAAAUAAAUAAAAUUAAGGGCCA